GACGAACGCUGGCGGCGUGCUUAACACAUGCAAGUCGAACGGAAAGGCCCUGCUUUUGUGGGGUGCUCGAGUGGCGAACGGGUGAGUAACACGUGAGUAACCUGCCCUUGACUUUGGGAUAACUUCAGGAAACUGGGGCUAAUACCGGAUAGGAGCUCCUGCUGCAUUGUGGGGGUUGGAAAGUUUCGGCGGUUGGGGAUGGACUCGCGGCUUAUCAGCUUGUUGGUGGGGUAGUGGCUUACCAAGGCUUUGACGGGUAGCCGGCCUGAGAGGGUGACCGGCCACAUUGGGACUGAGAUACGGCCCAGACUCCUACGGGGGGCGGCAGUGGGGAAUAUUGCACAAUGGGCGGAAGCCUGAUGCAGCAACGCCGCGUGCGGGAUGACGGCCUUCGGGUUGUAAACCGCUUUCGCCUGUGACGAAGCGUGAGUGACGGUAAUGGGUAAAGAAGCACCGGCUAACUACGUG
rnacentral:rRNA from 1 species